rnacentral:misc_RNA from 1 species
GAAAUGCGAUAACUAGUGUGAAUUGCAGAAUUCCGUGAAUCAUCGAGUCUUUGAACGCACAUUGCGCCCCCUGGUAUUCCGGGGGGCAUGCCUGUCCGAGCGUCAUUGCUGCCCAUCAAGCACGGCUUGUGUGUUGGGUCGUCGUCCCCUCUUCGGGGGGGACGGGCCCCAAAGGCAGCGGCGGCACCGCGUCCGAUCCUCGAGCGUAUGGGGCUUUGUCACCCGCUCUGUAGGCCCGGCCGGCGCUUGCCGAACGCAAAACAACCAUUCUUUCCAGGUUGACCUCGGAUCAGGUAGGGAUACCCGCUGAACUUAA